GUCCGCACCGUAACGAUGAUUACUCGUUGUUGGCAAUAUGACCGUCAGCGACCAAGCGAAGCGAUAAGUAAUCCACCUGGGAGUACGCCGGCAACGGUGAAACUCAAAGGAAUUGACGGGCCCGCACAAGCGGAGGAGCAUGUGGUUUAAUUCGAUGAUACGCGAGGAACCUUACCUGGGCUUGAAAGUUAGUGACCGGUUCUGAAAGGAACUUUUCCGCAAGGACACGAAACUAGGUGCUGCAUGGCUGUCGU
rnacentral:rRNA from 1 species